rnacentral:rRNA from 1 species
GUGUCAGCAGCCGCGGUAAUACGGAGGGUGCAAGCGUUAUCCGGAUUCACUGGGUUUAAAGGGUGUGUAGGCGGGCUGUUAAGUCAGUGGUGAAAUCUCCGGGCUCAACCCGGAAACUGCCAUUGAUACUAUCAGUCUUGAAUAUCGUUGAGGCAGGCAGAAUAUGUCAUGUAGCGGUGAAAUGCAUAGAUAUGACAUAGAAUACCGAUUGCGAAGGCAGCUUGCUAAACGAUCAUUGACGCUGAGGCACGAAAGCGUGGGGAUCAAACAGGAUUAGAUACCCCCGUAGUCC